UUAGGUUUAAAUUUCCAAACAGGGAUUAAACAAAAUAUUCUGAAAGAAACAGGGAAACUAUUUUUGAUUGAAUUUUGUGUUAAAUGUAUGUCAACUGUUUGUAAUAUUGUUAUUUCCUUUCUUUUUAAAUAAAUAAGCCAGUUUAAACUUAUUUUCUGGUCUGUGGUUAUUAAUACACCAAUACAUUUCACUACUCUCGUAGCAGAACCUUACCUCUGGUCUUAUUGUGUGUUCUAGUUACUGUAAUCACAUUCUAAGUAUUGAGCUAAGCAUUCUAAGCUUGUUAUAGCUGGUGGGAAGCAGUAACGGAACCUUUUGUCUCUGGCCUUCAUAUCAGGUCUUAUGUUGUUGGGUUGCUUUUAUGUUGUGCAAAUAAUGCCAUUUCCUGCUAUCUCCCUCUCAGAGAGGGCGAUUGCAGGAAAUAUCGCUCUCAUAUUGCCUAAAAUGCUUCAGUGUUUUCAUCCUCAGACUUUGGGUCUUAUCUGCAGUCCUACUGCAGAUCUAGUGGGUAUCUCACUUGGCGGCCAUAGAUAGUUCGAAGUGUGAGAAACUUGUGGAACCUCCUGACAAGCAAUAAACAGGUGUUUUCCUAGUGACACCUUGGACCCGAUCUCUGUGAAGCCCUGGGUUUACUGCUUUCUGGAUUAUCUCCCUCGUGACGCUGUGGAUGUUACCCACUGGUUGCCUGAGUUCCAUCGUCAACUCGGCAAUCAACCUUACCUCUUGAAUUUUCUGGCCGGCAGCCCAUCUCGCUCCUCACCUCCUCCGCUCCAGUGCUUGCCUGUCCGCCCUCCACUGCAGCCUCCACUACCAUCAAGAAACCCUCUUCAUCCGAACACAGUCCCGGUGACUACAGUACUUCACCUCAAUACUCCGGCGACACUGGUUGCAGCCCCCCACGGUCCAGACAGCCAAAUUCAAACUCUUUGUUUAAAUAAACUUUAUUUUACUGAUUGCUGUUCUCCAAGUGGUGUUCUGCAUGUGGGUCAGAAAACUAGAAUCCAACAUGACAGAACACUCUGGCCAACAGACAAACCCAGGAGACACACUCCGGAGAACUUUAGAGGAACAACACUCUCUCAUUCAGAACUAUGACACUUUAUAGGAACUAAAUAAUCGUCAAGCAGAAACUAACUGCCACCUUGAAGAACUCGCUAACUUUUUACAAAACUCUUUUCAACAGACUUCCACUGCCGCUGCGACGACAGCUCAAGUCCCUGCCUCCAGGUCUGAAACUCCAAUCCGUGCCACGUUUUCCGACCUAUGACUACUACACAAUCCCCGCAUUAACUGGUCAGAAAAACAUAUUGUACCAUGGUCACUAAACUGUUACUCCACCUGUCUCCGCUCAGCAGUCCCUCCAGGUCCUCCACCAGUGAAACAGCAUGAAGCUGACCCACCUGAUCUCUCCACCAUCCAGUGAAUUAUCAUGAUCUAGCACCGGUUUUCAGUAAGUCCAAAGCACUAUCUCUUCCGCCUCAUCAUCCUUAUGAUUGUGCAAUCGAUCUCCCUGGAGCACUACUACCCAACACUCGCCUGUAUCACAUAUCACAACCUGAAAGAGAGACUAUGGAGAGAUGCAUAAAGGAGUCCCUGGCUGCCGGCAUCAUCCGCCCUUCAUCCUCACCUUUGGGUGCAGGAUUCUUCUUCGUAGGGAUUGAGGUUUGAAUCAAAUUACUGUUAAAAACAAAUACCCUUUGCCACUUCUUUCAUCAGCUUUUGAACCAGUCCAUGAAGCCACCAUUUUUACUAAACUCAACCUCAGAAAUGCGUAUCAUUUCCUUCGCAUCCACGAAGGGGAUGAGUGGAAGACGGCAUUCAAAACAACCCUAGGUCAUUUCGAGUAUCUGGUUAUGCCCUUUGGCCUGUCUUGUGCCCCAGCCUGUUUUCAAGCCUUAGUGAACGAUGUCCUGAGAGAUUUUCUGAACAUGUUUGUGCUUGUCUACCUCAAUUAUAUUUUGAUUUAUUCUAAGACUCUCUCAGAACACAUGAAUCAUGUCCGCUUCAUCCUGUAGCGCCUCCUGGAGAACAAGCUGAAAAGUGUGAGUUUCAUCGACCCUCUGUUACUUUCCUGGGAUUCAUACUAGAGGGUGGACAGGUAAGACCCAAGGAGGAAAAGAUCAAAGCGGUGUUGGAAUGGUCCACUCCUGAAACUCGUAAGCAGCUCCAAAGAUUCCUUGGGUUCGCCAACUUCUAUCGCUGUUUCAUCAGAAACUACAGUCAAAUAGCACAACCUCUAACUGCCCUCACCUCCACUAAGACAUAGUUUUUCUGGACCCCUGAAGAAGAUGCAGCAUUAAUCCAGCACAAAACAUUUUUCACCAAGGCACCUAUCCUCAUCCAACCAGAUCCCUCCAAACAAUUUAUUGUAGAAGUAGAUGCAUCUGAGACAGGAGAUGCAUCUACUGUUCUUUCACAAUUUUCAGAGCUUGACCACAAAACUCACCCUUGUGCUUUUUUCUCCCACAGAUUGUCUCCUGCGGAGCAAAAUUAUGAUGUGGGUGAUCAAAAACUGCUCGCCAUAAAGCUUGCUCUUGUAAUUUUGUUGCUCUGCACAAAAUAAUCAACCCGUAUUUUAUUUUGGCGGGUCAAACUGACUGCACACUUUAAGUUCCGGGUCACAGGUGAAUUCGGAUCUCCUCCAUUGCUGUUGCUGCUGUCACUGUGGCUAGUUGCUUGUGUUGGCAUCUUCCAAAAUCAUGGAAGAAUACGGCUGGAUCGAGCCCUAUUAACACAGCCGAAGGAUUAUAUUGGGUAUUUUCUGGCAACCGCUCAACGGUGAGUCGUUUGUUUUACGUACUUUUUUUUUUUUUUUAUAAUAGAAAUGUGGUGGCGACACGCCCACUCAAUCUAUGUAUUGGUGAUUUAAAAAUGGUCUUAUUGAUUAAAAGGUCAUUCUCUUUUUGUUAAUUUUGUGGCCGAAUAGAUGAUAUAUCCUCAAAAUAUUAAAUACGCCCUUUGAUUUUUGUAAAUUUGUCCUUUUAGGAUAGUUUUAGUUACUUUUCAUUGAUUUUGUUGGCGGCCUAUAGAACUCUGGAAUUGGUUAAUUUCUUUGGAGUUGCACAACAAAACAAAAGAAAAAAGGAAAAACAAUUGUUUAUUGAAACAAUACUGAAGUCGAUUAAGUUUAAUUGACUCUAAUGUCAAUUAAACUUAGGUACAACUUAAAAGUCCACUUUAAUUUGAUCUGUAACUUUAUUUGGAUCUGUAACAUUAAUGUGAUCUUUAAUUUGAAAUUCAUUUGAAUAAUUCCUGAGAAAUACUUUAUGGAAUAUAGCUAUUUUUUAAAUUAUUGAAUGUUUAGUUAUUUUUGGAUAACAGUUUAACCCUGUUUAAAUGUGAAUGCUAAUUUGUUUUUAUUUUUAUUUAUGACCUUGUUUCGGUCAGGUUUUUUUCCACCCCCCUGUUUCAAGCCAGGAUGGCGAGCUACCAGAUCACUGCAGCUUUCCGGUAGGACUUAAUUGAACCAAACUACUUUAUUCAUUCUGGACCUACUGCCUUGGAUCAUGGACUAAAAACAGUCAGAUUAUUGAUUGAUGGACUAUUAAUCACCCAGGAUUCAAGAACAGACUUAAAAUAG